rnacentral:rRNA from 1 species
GAUCCUGGCUCAGAUUGAACGCUGGCGGCAGGCCUAACACAUGCAAGUCGAACGGUAACAGGAAGAAGCUUGCUUCUUUGCUGACGAGUGGCGGACGGGUGAGUAAUGUCUGGGAAACUGCCUGAUGGAGGGGGAUAACUACUGGAAACGGUAGCUAAUACCGCAUAACGUCGCAAGACCAAAGAGGGGGGACCUUCGGGCCUCUUGCCAUCGGAUGUGCCCAGANGGGAGUUAGCUAGUAGGUGGGGUAACGGG